AGCGCUGCGUACAUAAGUAGCGCUUUAUAAAUAAAGAUAUACAUACAUACUGAUGAUGAGUCCCUUCCGGAUAGGUUGAAAAAAUUUUAUGCUAGGUUUGAUGUACAAAUUAAUACUCCCAACAAGAAGGAUCUCCCUUCCUUCAAACAGCCAGAUGCUUUAUCUGACUGUGGACGUGGUACGGCGAAGUUUCUCGAAAAGCUGCUGGUCCUGAUCAGAUUUCUGUGACAUGUUUGAAUGACUAUUGACCUAUUGCACUCACACCGAUAGUCAUGAAAUGCUUUGAGAGAAUUGUCAUACCACACAUUAAAAAUAUGCUAUGUUAGGAUGGUGUUUAUUGAUUUUAGUUCUGCUUUCAAUAAUUUUAUUCCACAAAAGAUUGUGGAUUUUAGAAAGAUUCCUUUUACCCAUAAAGCUCUCUUUAUAAAUGGCUCCAUUGUUCAGAAUGUCAGUAACUUUACAUUUCUUGGUUCAGAUCUCAAACAAUCUCAUUUGGGCUCAACAAUGGCUUUUCUUUUUGUGAACAUUGAGGAAAGUAAAUCUUACCGCCUCUAUACUUUUUUUUUUUUUUAUCGAGGGGUUAUAGAGAGCGUAUUGACAAAUUCUGUUACUGUGUGGUACGGUAAUUGUGGUGCUGUUUAUCAAUUAAUUUGCUUGUGUAUAUUUUUGUAUGCAGAUGUGAUGACAAUAAAGCUUGACUUGA